rnacentral:sRNA from 1 species
AUUGUAACGGCCAGUUGCGGCGUAGUGUAGAAACCAUAUAAGCUAUAAAUCUAAUUCCAUUAUAAACUAUUUUUUGCAUAUAUUAAAUAUAUAAAUGGUAUAUUUGAUAAUGUUAUAUAUACUGCAUUGCAAUACUAUUACUCCUUUGCGUAAUUGAAAAUUAGAACUUUCAAAGUUCAAUUAUCUUCUUUUUUUCAAUUUAUUGCUGUUGAUAUUCUUCUUAUGGGUUUUGAACCCACGCACCGUCCCCGCUACCUGGUGGCCGAAUGGGGGCUUAUAGAAUCGCGUACUAGUCAAAGGGUCAGUUAAGCUUUUUACAACUCAACUUUUUAAUGAGCUAUUUCUUCUCUUUCACUUAUCUAUUCAGAGCUUUUAUAAAUUUGAUGAGAGUCUUCUACUGUAGAUUCUAUUAUUAAGUCUUCUCAAACUAUUUAUACAGUAAAGAUAGUAGUGAGAUUAUUUACACCGACUUCUUUGAGAAUAGAAGAAGAUAUUUAUAACAGUCUAUCUCUGUCUCUUAUCAGUUUUUUCAGUGAUAAAAUUUGUCAGAGAUUUCAGCUUCAGUGAUCUGAUAAAGACUAUAUUGAUAUUUUUGAUCGGAUAGAAGAAUAUUGAGACACUCAACUGUGUAAUAAAACAUGUGUAAAGAGGCUGCAGAGGAUAUAUAAUGAUUUUGAACAAGUUACAGAGUUGAAAAUAUCUGAAAAAUAGUAGGAAAUGUGGAAAAUUCAAUGCACCUCUUUGUUCGUGGUAGUGUUCUUUUUUUCGCGGGUCG